rnacentral:snRNA from 1 species
ACGCUUAUCUGUCAGGGGAGACACCAUAAUCACAAAGUUGAUUUUCCAGGUCAAGGCUUAUCUGUUGCACUCCAGAUGUGAUGAUCCCUGUGAUUUCCCCAAAUGUGGGAAACUUGACUGCCUAAUUUAUGGCAUUGGAGGAUGCAUUCAUGCUCUUCUCUG